rnacentral:rRNA from 1 species
UUUUUGACGGAGAGUUUGAUCCUGGCUCAGGACGAACGCUGGCGGCGUGCUUAACACAUGCAAGUCGAACGAUGAUCUCC